AUAAAGUAAGCUAAAUAUUUAAAGCUAGUGGGUUCAUACCCCAAAAAUGAAAAAUUUUCCUUUAUUA
rnacentral:tRNA from 1 species